UUAUGAAUUAUGUUAAUCCCGAUUGAGACUCUUCAUGUUCUCCCCAGCGCACUCCUUUUCUUCCUUCAUCUCGUAUGUAUUGUGUUGGCAUGUGCAUAGAAAUAUUCAUUUUGCAUUAUCAAGUUAUGAAAAAAAUAACUUGAUUAACUUUGAAACUAAUGCUAUAACCUAUACGACAUGCUAUAUAACUUAACUCCUUUGGUUGAUAGUAGGACUUUUUGGGGUGUGGGGAUUUAAAAUGAAGAAAAUUAUGAAAAACUAUAGAAAUAGUAUUUUUAUUCAAAGUAUUAUGCUAUCACCUGCUUCUCCAUCCAUUAAGAUCUGAUACUGGAGUAUAUUUUUCACAAGUGAUAGUUAUUAAAAAAAGCGUCAAAAACAUGAUAUUAUUUCAAUCGGUUAUUCGUACUUUGACUAUUGUUGUGUGAUUCUUCUAUGGUCUUAUCAUAAAAGACAAUAAUAUAGAUGUGAGCUUUAUUUUCAAGCAUCAUUUUAGAUUCCAAAUAUAUUAGGAUUCAUAUUAGGUGUACUGCAAUAUUUGAAAGAUAAUACAUCUUUACAUGAGUAUAAUGGCUUUACUUGAGUAUUUAAAAAGUUC
rnacentral:lncRNA from 1 species